rnacentral:rRNA from 1 species
CAUGCUCAGGAUGAACGCUGGCGGCGUGCUUAACACAUGCAAGUCGAACGAUGAAGCCCAGCUUGCUGGGUGGAUUAGUGGCGAACGGGUGAGUAACACGUGAGUAACCUGCCCUUAACUCUGGGAUAAGCCUGGGAAACUGGGUCUAAUACCGGAUAGGAGCGUCCACCGCAUGGUGGGUGUUGGAAAGAUUUAUCGGUUUUGGAUGGACUCGCGGCCUAUCAGCUUGUUGGUGAGGUAAUGGCUCACCAAGGCGACGACGGGUAGCCGGCCUGAGAGGGUGACCGGCCACACUGGGACUGAGACACGGCCCAGACUCCUACGGGAGGCAGCAGUGGGGAAUAUUGCACAAUGGGCGAAAGCCUGAUGCAGCGACGCCGCGUGAGGGAUGACGGCCUUCGGGUUGUAAACCUCUUUCAGUAGGGAAGAAG